AAAAUUGUCCCUAGCAUGCGUAGGUUAGUGUACUAGGAUCGCUGGUCGGCGCGGACGCGGUGGGCCGAAGGGCCUGUUUCCUCACUGU